rnacentral:rRNA from 1 species
UACGUAGGGUGCGAGCGUUAAUCGGAAUUACUGGGCGUAAAGCGUGCGCAGGCGGUUUUGUAAGCCAGAUGUGAAAUCCCCGGGCUUAACCUGGGAAUGGCAUUUGGGACUGCAAGGCUUGAGUGCGGCAGAGGAGACUGGAAUUCCUGGUGUAGCAGUGAAAUGCGCAGAUAUCAGGAGGAACACCGGUGGCGAAGGCGG